rnacentral:rRNA from 1 species
CCCUUAGAUGUUCUGGGCCGCACGCGCGAUACACUGACGAUGGCAACGAGUUUUUCCUUCGCCGAAAGGUGUGGGUAAUCUUUUGAAACAUCGUCGUGCUGGGGAUAGAUCAUUGCAAUUUUUGAUCUUGAACGAGGAAUUCCUAGUAAGCGCGAGUCAUCAGCUCGCGUUGAUUACGUCCCUGCCCUUUGUACACACCGCCCGUCGCUACUACCGAUUGAAUGGUUUAGUGAGGACUCCUGAUUGGCGCCGCCGCCCCGGCAACGGAGCAGCGGACUGCCGAAAAGUUGUUCAAACUUGAUCAUUUAGAGGAAGUAAAAGUCGUAACA